rnacentral:misc_RNA from 1 species
GAUGAAGAACGUAGCGAAAUGCGAUACUUGGUGUGAAUUGCAGAAUCCCGUGAACCAUCGAGUCUUUGAACGCAAGUUGCGCCCGAAGCCAUUAGGCCGAGGGCACGCCUGCCUGGGCGUCACACGUCGUUGCCCCCCAUCUACUCCUUCGGGAUUGCGGGGGGCGGAUGAUGGCCUCCCGUGCGCCUCGUCGCGCGGUUGGCAUAAAUGCCAAGUCCUCGGCGACGCACGCCACGACAAUCGGUGGUUGCGAAACCUCGGUUGCCCGUCGUGUGCGGUCGUCGCGCAUCGAGGGCUCGAAAAAAUUGCCGGGCUCCGGCUCGGCUUUCAACGCGACCCCAGGUCAGGCGGGGUUACCCGCUGAAUUUAAGCAUAUCAAUAGCGGAGGA